CAGCUGAUGGAGGAUGGGGACUGUGGUCUUCCUGGGAAUGUCAUCAAAAUAUUGCUAAAAGAUUCCGUUUUUGUGAUAAUCCACCCCGCAGGAAACUUGGAAGAGAUUGUGUGGGUAGUAGUACAGAAAUCCACCUAAGAAGUCAAUCUCCAAAUAAUUUUUAUAAAAUCUGCCCACAUUUAAAACCUACCAUUAACCCUGAUAUACAAGGUUCAGGGAGUGGAAGUGGAGACAAUGAAUGAAUGAAAAUCUCAUCUCAAGAUGGAUAUAAUGUAUGACAACCUCAGGCAUAAUAAAAUGUUUUUAACCAUACA